GCAGAUGUAGUUUAGUGGCAGAACUUGAGCUUCCCAAGCUUACGGUGCGGGUUCGAUUCCCGCCAUCUGCUCCA
rnacentral:tRNA from 1 species